rnacentral:tRNA from 1 species
AAAGAAUUAGUUAAAUAAAUUAUAACAUAAAUUUGUCAAAUUUAAAUUAUUAUAAAAAUAAUAUUCUUUU